CAGCAGUCACAGCCCAACUCUUUGUUAAAUCGAUCGCAGAUCCCCCUCUAUGUCAAACCGAUGGUGUUUCGGUGCGUUGAGUGUCGACCGGUGCCAACUCCACCUCCUCCGCGCGUUGAUGAGGGCGGUUUUUCUCGCCGCUAUCCAGUCUUCCUGCCUUCUGUUGCUUUCGCUUUUGUUUUCGGGGGCCUUCCGCCUCUGGUGGAGUUACUAGCAGCGUGGGCCUGGACGGUUGCGUUGGCUGUCGUGAUUGUUUGAGUCUUCCGGAGUUUUCGCUUUUCGUGUUCUUUUUUUUUCCUGCUCCUGGAAGCUGGAUCGUUUCGUUGUUGACGGCUAUGCCGUGGUUUGGUGGUUUUAUUGGUAACUGGUUCAUUGGUUGUGUUUUUUUUUUCUCUCUCGAGAGAAGUGAGAAUUGCUAGGGGAGAUGGGUUGCGGUGGUGGUCCUUGGGUUUUGGCUUUGUUGAGUACAGAGGCAUUAAUCUUCUAUUACAAAGAAAAACAAUAGCAACCGCGACCUGGAGGAAGGGAGAGACAGAAGAAGAUUAAAAUUAUCGACCUUGACUGACUAUGGAAAGGUUUGCCAUUCUCGCAGGUCUAACGACCAUUUCAAAGCUCAAUCCAGGAUUGUUCGAGGUAAAUGGAGCAGGACAUGGGAAUCGAAGCAUUGGAAGCCAUGCUCAUGGAUAUGAUGGGUUUAGAGGUUAGGCUGGCUGGCUGUUCUAUCAUCAUGGUGCUGUGUUUUUCUCUCUUCCCCGGAGUUUGGUCAUGUUCUUAUGCUAUGCUCCUUUAGUUAUGCUGUUUUGGAUUCUUAGCUCGACCAGUUUUUUAUGACCAUGAAUAACAUUAAUUACCUAUCUUUUGCAGGGAAACUAAUGCUGCUGACUGCACUGCCACCCCAAAUCCAAAUUGUGGAGCAGCCACUGUUAUGGAAAUGGAUCAAGGAGGUUUACUUUGGAUCCAGGAAACUUAGCGAGAAGUCAAGGUCCAAAACAAUGAGACCAGAUAGAGAUUUAGUGUCUUUAGACUGAGCAUCCAAAACAUAAUGUAUUAUACCAGACCUAACUCUUUUGAGUUUGAUUAUGCGUCAAGCUCAAAUAAUUAUAAGCAAAUGAGAUCUAAAAAAAAAUAAAAAUGGUAUAAGGUAUAAUUCCUAAAACAAUCUAAAAAUUAAAAAAGAAACUAAAUAAAAAAGGAUUGGGUUGUCAAAAGGUGAAUUAAUAAAAAGAAAAAAAAUAAACAAAUGAAA